rnacentral:tRNA from 2 species
CAUUAAGAAGCUAUGUAACAGCACUAGCCUUUUAAGCUAGCGACAGAGGACCCACUACCCUCCUUAAUGA